rnacentral:lncRNA from 1 species
CCAGUCGGACGGGCUGCUGGUGAAGGGCCGGCGCCGCUCCGCGCGUCCUUUUGAACUCAACGGGGGCGGGCACCGCGGAGUCGCGGAGGCCAGCAGAGGCCGAACGAGGACCCCGAGCGGAGGAAGCCGCGGGUGGCGCGCGGGGUCUGUGUCCCGAAGCUUGGCAGAUGAGCGAACUUAGCCAGCACACCCCCGGCCGUGAAGCAGGGAGGUGAAGCGGGGAGAGCAACGAGCCCCACCCGGGUCUUGCCAGCUGGACGUUCUUGUGGGGCAGCGUUGAGCAGCGGUUAGGAGUGUCGUGGACUUUGGAUUCAAACAGCCCCAGCUCUUCUGCUUGCUAGCUGGGUGACUCUGGGCAAAUUAACAUCUCGAAAAUCUGUUUCCUCAUUCUUAAAAUGCGGGGCUGAAAGUGAUCAUGCCUGUAAAGCCAUCUCAUAUCCAUGGUUCUAGAGCAUGGUGAGCACCUCAAUUUGAAUAAUCAGUGCCAUGCUUUAGCUACCUCUUGACUCACUCGUUUGUGGCAGGAAAUGUUCCCAAAUUAAUCAGAAGAAUUCAGUGACUAAGAGGAUGUAAUAGUAUAUAACGCAGGCACUGGAAUCAGCUCUGCUGUGUGAUCUUGGACAAGCUGCUUCUGUUUCGUUUCUCUUAUCUGGGGCAAUACCUGUCUGAUAGAGUGACUGUUGGGACGAAAUAGGUUAGUAAAUAUGUACUGUAAGGCAUUAGAACCUUGCCUGGCACAUAGUAAGUGCUCAAUAAACGCUAGCUCUUGUUACCUUGGC